GAUGAACGCUGGCGGCGUGCCUAACACAUGCAAGUCGAACGAAGCACCUGACACGGAAUCCUUCGGGAGGAAGAGUCUUGUGACUGAGUGGCGGACGGGUGAGUAACGCGUGGGCAACCUGCCUUGUACAGGGGGAUAACAGUUGGAAACGACUGCUAAUACCGCAUAAAGCCUACGGUAUCGCAUGAUACAGUAGGAAAAACUCCGGUGGUACAAGAUGGGCCCGCGUCUGAUUAGCUAGUUGGAGGGGUAACGGCCCACCAAGGCAACGAUCAGUAGCCGGCUUGAGAGAGUGACCGGCCACAUUGGGACUGAGACACGGCCCAA
rnacentral:rRNA from 1 species